GAUGAACGCUGGCGGCGUGCCUAAUACAUGCAAGUCGAGCGAACGGACGAGAAGCUUGCUUCUCUGAUGUUAGCGGCGGACGGGUGAGUAACACGUGGAUAACCUACCUAUAAGACUGGGAUAACUUCGGGAAACCGGCGCUAAUACCGGAUGAUAUUUUGAACCGCAUGGUUCAAAAGUGAAAGACGGUCUUGCUGUCACUUAUAGAUGGAUCCGCGCUGCAUUAGCUAGUUGGUAAGGUAACGGCUUACCAAGGCAACGAUGCAUAGCCGACCUGAGAGGGUGAUCGGCCGCACUGGAACUGAAACACGGUCCAGACUCCUACGGGAGGCAGCAGUAGGGAAUCUUCCGCAAUGGGCGAAAGCCUGACGGAGCAACGCCGCGUGAGUGAUGAAGGUCUUCGGAUCGUAAAGAUCGGUUAUUAGGGAAGAACAUAUGUGUAAGUAGCUGUACACAGCUUGACGGUACCUAGUCAGAAAGCCACGGCUAACUACGUG
rnacentral:rRNA from 1 species